UGACCUCGGAUCAGACGUGAUUACCCGCUGAAUUUAAGCAUAUUAUUAAGCGGAGGAAAAGAAACUAACAAGGAUUCCCUAGUAACGGCGAGUGAACGGGGAAGAGCCCAACACCGAAUCCCUUGGCGCAAGUCAACGGGAAAUGUGGUGUUAAGGUAGCCCUUCGUGUCAGUCUAGGCGUCUCAAGUCCACCUGAUUGUGGCUCAA
rnacentral:ncRNA from 1 species